UGGACCUCGUCCAACUCCUACAAGGAUGCCUUCCGUUGACAUUGUAGCACUACUGAGUCAGUUUUCAAGCUGUCAUGUUUGUUCAAAUGCAGUGGCAAAACAACACCCCACAUUGUCUCUAUUUCAGGGUCAUGUUGGAAAAACUCUGAAACUCAGUAACUUCUCUCAGCCUAUCCACUCAAGAGCGAAUGUGGGAUUUUUCUGGUAGGACACCCUUUUCUUUUGUAGAGGGAGUGUUGAAAUAGCAGUGGUCCCUGGAGAAGAUGUGUUAAAACAUCUUCCAUAGAGGGAGAGUGUGUUGAAAUAGCAGUGAUCUCUAGUAGUUACUGUGUUGAAAUAGCAGUCUUCUACAGAAGAGACUGUGUUACAGUAUGGACUUGGGAGAUAGACAUCAUGUGACUGUUGCCAUGGACGUCCAGCAAAGGACCCCAGACAUAAUCAGGAACCAGAUAGAUGGAAAUAUAUUCAAAUCAGCAAUACAUCUAAAGUGACUUUAAUAAACAAAUGUUUAUUUAAAA
ensembl:lncRNA